CAGUCGCCGCGGUAAUACAGAGGGUGCGAGCGUUAAUCGGAUUUACUGGGCGUAAAGCGUGCGUAGGCGGCUAAUUGAGUCGGAUUUGAAAUCCCCGAGCUUAACUUGGGAAUUGCAUUCGAUACUGGUUAGCUAGAGUGUGGGAGAGGAUGGUAGAAUUCCAGGUGUAGCGGUGAAACGCGUAGAGAUCUGGAGGAAUACCGAUGGCGAAGGCAGCCAUCUGGCCUAACACUGACGCUGAGGUACGAAAGCAUGGGGAGCAAACAGGAUUAGAUACCCGCGUAGUCCCUGUCUCUUAUAC
rnacentral:rRNA from 1 species